rnacentral:lncRNA from 1 species
AUGAUAUGAUUAUUUUUUUUUAAUUUCAGACACAGUCCUGGAUUGAAAAAGUGAGUUGUAAUUUUCUAUCUGUAAAUAGUUCAAAUAAACUCAGCACAGAUACCAGGAUCAAAAUUUUAUAUCUACAACAGAUGCGCAUCAGUGAUGCUCGAAUCAAAAAAUGUUUAAAAGGCCAAAUAUUAUAUUAAGUUGUCAAUUUUCACACUUUCACUCACCACUCAACAUUCCUUCUGUGAAACACAUGCAUUUCCUUAUAAAGAAAAUGUUGGCUUUUACCGUUAGAUGAACCUAUCUUUUGGCAUUUACCCUUUAUUUAGUCAGGAAUUGACCUUUUUAGACAUCAAUAACUUUAUUAAACCUUCAAUCAAAGUUUUUAAAUUUGGAAGAAUCUUCUUUAAAAUUUAAACUAAACAAGAAUGUGUCCUCAGUACACGAAUGCCCCACUCGCACUAUCAUUUUCCAUGUUCAGUGGACCGUGAAAUUGGGGUAAAAACUCUAGUUUGGCAUUAAAAUUAGAAAGAUCAUAUCAUAGGGGACAUGUGUACUAAGUUUGAAGUCGAUUGGACUUAAACUUCAUCAAAAACUACCUUGACCAAAAACUUUAACCUGAAGCGGGACAGACGGACGGACGAACGGACAGACGGAUGGACGAACGAACAGACGGACGGACGGACGGACGCACAGACCAGAAAACAUAAUGCCCCUCUACUAUCGUAGGUGGGGCAUAAAAAUAACAAAAGUUUAAGGGAAUUUCAAAACAGAAAAUCCCUUAAAAGUGCUCACUUAUAUGACAGUUGCAUAGAAUUCCAUUAUAUUGACAAUAAUGUGUGAAUAAAACAAACAUAUAAUAUAAGAGUUGUCUCAUUUGCAAUCAUUUCACAUCUUUUAUAUAUAUAAUAGGUAAAAAUGUCAAAAAUAGGGGUACAGUAGUCAACAUUUUGUUAAAAUCUUACUCACCAUAAAACAAACAAAUGUGUCAACGAAGAAAAACAAAAAAGCAUAUAAACAGGGCACAUAUUGAAUAUCUUUUAUCAGUAUGUGCACAAAUAUAAAUUUAAGUUAUCAUACUUGGUCAUUUCCUUGUUUCAGAAAUAAAGUUGGCCAUUCUGAUGGUAAAGGAAGUCUUACAGAUUGGUGAAGAACUGUUGAUGGAAUUAUCCUGUCACAGAUAGAGGAAAUUAAAUGAUCCUUUAUGCUGAAGUUCAAAUUUUAUUUAUAAAUUAUAAUUUCUCAGAGUUCUACAUAUUAACAGGCUGCAUUUUUUUCAGGAGAACAAAACAAUAGUUUUUAGUUGGAUUUGUGUUUGUAAAGGCACUAUAUUAUGUUGGACUUUUAAUUUAAUGAUGUUAACUUUACUGUAUUUUUUAUAUGGCCUGAUACAUGUAUUUGAUGUCUAACUGGAAAAAUUUUAGAACUGAAGAAACUUUAAAUAUCCCCUGAAAUAACACAAAAUUAGGAACAUCAUAGGAGUAAACACCAAGGUAUCCAUGAAGUCCUCACACGACUUAGGCCUAAACUAAAAUAUUGUUUGUUUGCCCUUUUCUGACCCUAUGUUUUGAAAUAGGGUAGGUAGGUAGGUAAAAUAUUUUCUUUUUCUUUCCCAAAAUAACUUAGCUCAGUACAUUUUAUGUCAUGGGUAGGCAGGUAGGUAUAAUAUUUUAUUUUAUAGAUACAAAAUCUGUAUUGUCAUUUUUGUUUGUAUUGCUUUUGUUUAAGUAUGCCUUUGUUAUUAAGUUUCUGGGACUAUUAUAAAGUAUAAUAGUCCCAGGAAGUUUGAAAAAAAAUUAUCAUGUAGAAUGUGAAGCACUACUAUUUUGUAUUUAAAUAUCAAAAUAUAGGGCUGUGCGGCAUAUUUUCGUUAAUAUGCCUGGAACUUUUAAGAGUUUUGACUUACACUAAUAUUCUGUAUUAGGUACCUUGUACGCUUACCUCAACCUAAAGGUUUUUGGAAGAGAUAAUUUUGUCCUGGUAAAAUAUGUCCGGGGGGAGACAUACAUAACUGACUAUUAGAAAAAGUCCCUAGAGUGUUUAAAUUUUUUGUGUGUGCCUGUGUUUCCAAUAAAAAUGCUACAAGACUUGAAACUCAAUUGUCACAAUAUUUUACAUCGCAUUUAUAUAAAUGAUCUGUACGGAAAAACUUGGCGAUUUUACUGCCAAUAUUCUCCACUUUACAGACCUUUGGUUCAUGUCAGAUAUAAAUGAUAUAUCAAUGCUAGUUGAAGGCAUCGUUAACAUAAUCAUCCUGAUCUACGGAUCACCAAAGGCCAUCCCUACAUAGGAUACAGCGUCUGUUUAUGAAAUAUUUUGUACACACGUUGAUAAUUUUAUAUUGGACGAACUUUUUUUUUAAUGAACCAUGCUCUUCAAGUAAAAGAUGCUGAGUAAUGUUUGUCCUAUCAUGAUUUCAUAGUUUUCAACAUCAAUUUCAAACAAAUGCCUUGAAACUCUAAAUGCAAGUGUUCAUGUCAAACGCUCAUGUGAUACCAAACAGACUAGACCUUAUACAAAUAUAAGACUUUUGGUAGGAACAAAAAAAUAAAAUAAAAUAAAAUAAAAUCUUGCUGGUAAAUACAAAUAAAAGAUUUUAGUCUAUUGUUUAAGUUUUUGAAGGCAUCAAUAGCUUUGUCAAACCUUUCAUGAAAUUUGACAAGAGCCUUUUUCACCACCUAAAGACAGUUUUAUACAGAGAAAAGAAUUUUAUUUUUCUGCAAUUUACUAAUAGAGGACUCUAAAGUUAGCAUUUAGAUAAAGUCCUAAGUUCACAGUUUUUCAUUCAUCAAUACUUUGUCAAACUUUCAUGGACUUUAGUUAACCAGGAUGGGUGUUUUUUUUCAUCAAAAGAGUAUCUAGAGCAAAAUUCCAGUGCAUUAUAUAACAUAUAAUAUGUUUUUUAUUUUUGUUUAAAUUUGUAUUGUUUUUAUUAUUUCAUUAUUAUAAUUUUUAUUUUUUAUUUUUUUGAAUCCUAGAUGUACUUUGUCUGGCCUGCAAUAAGUUGCAGAAUGCAAGACAUAAGGAUGACAAUCCGUCCGCAUAAAUUAUUUGAAUAAAGUUUAUUUUUCAAAUGGUA